rnacentral:rRNA from 1 species
GACGAACGCUGGCGGCGUGCUUAACACAUGCAAGUCGAACGGAAAGGCCCUGCUUUUGUGGGGUGCUCGAGUGGCGAACGGGUGAGUAACACGUGAGUAACCUGCCCUUUACUUUGGUAUAACUUCAGGAAACUGGGGCUAAUACCGGUUAGGAGCUCCUGCUGCAUGGUGGGGGUUGGAAAGUUUCGGCGGUUGGGGAUGGACUCGCGGCUUAUCAGCUUGUUGGUUGGGUAGUGGCUUACCAAGGCUUUGACGGGUAGCCGGCAUGAGAGGGUGACCGGACAAAUUGGGACUGAGAUACGGACCAGAGUCCUACGGGAGGCAGCAGUGGGGAAUAUUGCACAAUGGGAGGAAGCCUGAUGCAGAAACGCCGCGUGCGGGAUGACGGCCUUCGGGUUGUAAACCGCUUUCGCCUGUGACGAAGAGUGAGUGACGGUAAUGGGUAAAGAAGCACCGGCUAACUACGUG